rnacentral:rRNA from 1 species
ACGGGAGGCAGCAGCUAAGAAUAUUCCGCAAUGGACGAAAGUCUGACGGAGCGACGCCGCGUGGAUGAUGAAGGUCGGAAGAUUGUAAAAUCCUUUUAUAACUGAGGAAUAAGCAGUGUGAGAGAAACGCAUUGCGGUGACUGUAGGUUAUGAAUAAGCAACGGCUAAUUACGUGCCAGCAGCCGCGGUAACACGUAAGUUGCGAGCGUUGUUCGGAAUUAUUGGGCGUAAAGGGCAUGUAGGCGGUUUUGCAAGCUUGGUGUGAAAGGCGGGAGCUUAACUCCCGGACUGCGCUGAGAACUGCAUGACUAGAGUCACUGAGGGGCAAUCAGAAUUCCUGGUGUAGGGGUGAAAUCUGUAGAUAUCUGGAAGAAUACCAAUGGCGAAGGCAGGUUACCAGCAGAUGACUGACGCUGAGGUGCGAAGGUGCGGGGAGCAAACAGGAUUAGAUACCCUGGUA